UACGUAGGGUGCGAGCGUUAAUCGGAAUUACUGGGCGUAAAGUGUGCGCAGGCGGCGUCGCAAGUCGAGUGUGAAAUCCCCGAGCUUAACUUGGGAAUGGCGCUUGAAACUACGGUGCUGGAGUGUGGCAGAGGGAGGUGGAAUUCCACGUGUAGCGGUGAAAUGCGUAGAGAUGUGGAGGAACACCGAUGGCGAAGGCAGCCUCCUGGGCCAACACUGACGCUCAUGCACGAAAGCGUGGGGAGCAAACAGG
rnacentral:rRNA from 1 species